ensembl:lncRNA
AGAGAACACAGAGUGAAUCCUAGGCAGAGCUACAUCUAAGAUGUUUGGAGUCUAAGGAUUCUGACAGCACCCAUUAACUGCAUUGGUCAGCAAGUGGUGUAAUGCAAAAUUUCUCCAAAUUUGUUCAAAAUUUCUCCAAAUCAUCUACAUCUUGGAUAGCCUGAGUCUUGCAUUCGAUGAUGACAAACACAAACCAGGAUAAAGACGAGGAAGCCGACUCUGAAAGAAAAGCAAGCAAAUUGGAUGCUAAAAGAAAAGAGGAAGUCAAUUAGAACUAAAGGAAAACAAAGGCAUGGAGAAAUCAAGAGAUUGAAACUACCGGCGACCUGAUCGGCUGAGAAAAACAACAAUAGUUGAUGACAGACAAAAUCAUAAAAGCUGUGAAAAUGAACCCUAAAACACAUGUCUGUAAAAUCACCAACAACCUGUCAAUCUACAGACCGCAGGAGAAUUUGACACAGAAUUACAGAAGCUACACAGCAAGAUACAAACCUCUGACAAGCACCAAAAAUAGAAAUGCAAGAUUCUUCACAAAUGUGAGCCCAAAUGUGAGCCAGUAGAGUUUUGGAACUGAGUUGAUGGACCGAUAAGACAAAGAUUAACCUUCAUCUAAGUGAUUGGAAAGCAAAAGUGUGGAGAAAAAAGGGAACUGCAAAUGAUCCUAAGCAUACAACCUCAUCUGUAAAGCUUGGUGGAGGUGGUGUCAUGGCAUGGGCAUGCAUGGCUAUCUCUAGAACAGGACCUCUACAUUUUAAUGUUGACUUAAUGUACAAUGGCAGUAGCAGAAUGAAUUUGGAAGGAUACAAAAUCAUCUUGGCUACCAAUAUUCAAGAAAAUGUCACCAAACUCAUUAGAAAG